rnacentral:rRNA from 1 species
GGUUAAGCGACUAAGCGUACACGGUGGAUGCCCUGGCAGUCAGAGGCGAUGAAGGGCGUGCUAAUCUGCGAUAAGCGCCGGUAAGGUGAUAUGAACCGUUAUAACCGGCGAUACCCGAAUGGGGAAACCCAGUGUGAUUCGUCACACUAUCAUUAACUGAAUCCAUAGGUUAAUGAGGCGAACCGGGGGAACUGAAACAUCUAAGUACCCCGAGGAAAAGAAAUCAACCGAGAUUCCCCCAGUAGCGGCGAGCGAACGGGGAGGAGCCCAGAGCCUGAAUCAGCAUGUGUGUUAGUGGAAGCGUCUGGAAAGGCGCGCGAUACAGGGUGACAGCCCCGUACACAAAAGCGCAUGUGCUGUGAGCUCGAUGAGUAGGGCGGGACACGUGGUAUCCUGUCUGAAUAUGGGGGGACCAUCCUCCAAGGCUAAAUACUCCUGACUGACCGAUAGUGAACCAGUACCGUGAGGGAAAGGCGAAAAGAACCCCGGCGAGGGGAGUGAAAAAGAACCUGAAACCGUGUACGUACAAGCAGUGGGAGCACAGGUUUACCUGUGUGACUGCGUACCUUUUGUAUAAUGGGUCAGCGACUUAUAUUCUGUAGCAAGGUUAACCGAAUAGGGGAGCCGGAGGGAAACCGAGUCUUAAUUGGGCGUUAAGUUGCAGGGUAUAGACCCGAAACCCGGUGAUCUAGCCAUGGGCAGGUUGAAGGUUGGGUAACACUAACUGGAGGACCGAACCGACUAAUGUUGAAAAAUUAGCGGAUGACCUGUGGCUGGGGGUGAAAGGCCAAUCAAACCGGGAGAUAGCUGGUUCUCCCCGAAAGCUAUUUAGGUAGCGCCUCGUGAAUUCAUCUCCGGGGGUAGAGCACUGUUUCGGCUAGGGGGCCAUCCCGGCUUACCAACCCGAUGCAAACUGCGAAUACCGGAGAAUGUUAUCACGGGAGACACACGGCGGGUGCUAACGUCCGUCGUGAAGAGGGAAACAACCCAGACCGCCAGCUAAGGUCCCAAAGUCAUGGUUAAGUGGGAAACGAUGUGGGAAGGCCCAGACAGCCAGGAUGUUGGCUUAGAAGCAGCCAUCAUUUAAAGAAAGCGUAAUAGCUCACUGGUCGAGUCGGCCUGCGCGGAAGAUGUAACGGGGCUAAACCAUGCACCGAAGCUGCGGCAGCGACGCUUAUGCGUUGUUGGGUAGGGGAGCGUUCUGUAAGCCUGUGAAGGUGGCCUGUGAGGGUUGCUGGAGGUAUCAGAAGUGCGAAUGCUGACAUAAGUAACGAUAAAGCGGGUGAAAAGCCCGCUCGCCGGAAGACCAA